CCCAGGGCACCCACCUUGACCCUGAUCCACUAUGGGCUUCAGGCAGCUCUGCUGUGUGGUCCUCUGUCUCCUGGGCAUAGCCAUCUCCGCGGACCCUGGGAUCACUCAGAUACCAAAAUACCUAGUCAUGGGAAUGACGGACAAGAAAUCUUUGACAUGUGAACAACAUCUGGGACAUAAUGCUAUGUACUGGUAUAAACAGAGCGCCCAGAAGCCGCCAGAGCUCAUGUUUAUCCACAACUACCAGAAACUCACUGGAAAUGAGAGUGUUCCAAGCCGCUUCUGGUCUGAAUGCCCAGACAGCUCUCAGUGCCGCCUGGACCUGAACGCCCUGAAACCACAGGACUCCGCCGUCUAUCUCUGCGCCAGCAGUAGAGACACAGCCCUGCAGAGGCAAUUCCUUCCUGUGCACAAACCUCCAGGGUCCAGACAGGAAGCCGUGGGGGCCAUCCAAGUCUUGGUUUGGCAUUUCCCAUCAGACCAUAGCCCUGUCUGUGGGGUCACGUGGCAAGGCGGUGAAGAGUUUCUUCCCAGACAUCAACAGUGUAUGCCGGGCUCGUCCUGAGAAAGACUGUGCCAAGCCAUUCAAGUUUAAGCAGUUUCUUCAUCUGCUUUUCCCAAUCGCUUUGAUCCUCUGGGAACCCUUUCGUAAGACCCUUGGCCCUCUGGCCACAGCAGUCCUACCUACCCUCCUUCUAAAAGGUGCUUUUUCUUCGACUUCCCCUUCCAUCCAAGCUAGACCCUAAUCUCAGCCCAGAUCCCAGCUCCAGAUAUGCUCAGACCUUCUUCAAAGCACCUCGUUCUCUCUCCAGGGUCUCUGUCCAUUCCUGCCCUUGAGGACCAUGGACCCCCGAUCCUGUUGGGAUCGCUGUUCUCCAGUUCACCCUCCUGGCUGCUUGUUCAAGGGCUCAGCCCCUCACUGGCCUCUCUUCCACUCCAGCCUUAACCC